rnacentral:rRNA from 1 species
GCACAGUAAACGAUGAAUACUCGCUGUUUGCGAUACACUGUAAGCGGCCAAGCGAAAGCGUUAAGUAUUCCACCUGGGGAGUACGCCGGCAACGGUGAAACUCAAAGGAAUUGACGGGGGCCCGCACAAGCGGAGGAACAUGUGGUUUAAUUCGAUGAUACGCGAGGAACCUUACCCGGGCUUAAAUUGCGCUGGCUUUUACCGGAAACGGUAUUUUCUUCGGACCAGCGUGAAGGUGCUGCAUGGUUGUCGUCAGCUCGUGCCGUGAGGUGUCGGCUUAAGUGCCAUAACGAGCGCAACCCUUAUCUUUAGUUACUAACAGUUUUGCUGAGGACUCUAAAGAGACUGCCGUCGUAAGAUGCGAGGAAGGUGGGGAUGACGUCAAAUCAGCACGGCCCUUACGUCCGGGGCUACACACGUGUUACAAUGGGGAGCACAGCAGGUUGCUACACGGCGACGUGAUGCCAAUCCGUAAAACUCCUCUCAGUUCGGAUCGAAGUCUGCAACCCGACUUCGUGAAGCUGGAUUCGCUAGUAAUCGCGCAUCAACCACGGCGCGGUGAAUA